UAAUAAUUUAGAUGACUGUUUUAUAAAGAACAAAUAAAUGAAGAGUUAAAAGUUUGCAAGUUGAUAGAGAUAUGAUAUGAAAAAUUGAAGUGAAUAUUUGUCUCUAUGUUUAUGCAGUAUUACGUUGGACCAACAUUAAAAUACAACGCUCGCCUAACGUCGGAGGUCGACGUUGGGCCAACGUCAGCCAAACAGUUGGCUGCAAUAUCGCGCCGACAUCCAAAUCCACGUUGUUGCGACUUCAGUUGCCGACCAUCGGCCAAUCAAUUUUUCGACGUUGAUCCGACGUUGGGCCAUCGUCUGUGUGCUAUCUGGGGUAACAUACAACUUUCAAAAUUUUUAAUAAAAUAAUUGAAAAUAAUUUAAAUGGCUGAUUUAGUAAGCCUCUUUUAGAGAGUCAAGUUAAUAAACACUAUCUGUUCAUAAAAUUAUCUAAUAAAAAUUGCCUAG